UACGGAGGGUGCAAGCGUUGUCCGGAAUCACUGGGCGUAAAGGGCGCGUAGGCGGCGCGGAUAGUCGGCGGUGAAAGCCCGGAGCUCAACUCCGGGUCGGCCGUCGAUACUUCCGGGCUUGAGCACUGUAGAGGCAGAUGGAAUUCCGGGUGUAGCGGUGGAAUGCGUAGAGAUCCGGAAGAACACCGGUGGCGAAGGCGGUCUGCUGGGCAGUUGCUGACGCUGAUGCGGCGACAGCAGUGGGGAGCAAACGACGG
rnacentral:rRNA from 1 species